GCACUGCCUAGCGUGCACUCCGAAAUUUGCCAGCGUGCAUUACAUCCUGCCCCAGUCCAGCAGGCGAGCACCGUGCCUGCAAAAAAUCCCAUUCCAAAGCAAAGGAAUCCAUAAAAUGGAUUUUUCCGUUUAGUCCCGAAACUGAUAGAAAUUCCUUACCAGCUUUCCCAGAUUUCCUGUUCGGUGCCUUUUCUUUUUUGUAGGAGUGUUAAAUCUCACAAUGCUGCAGAGAGUGGAGAGAGAGAGAGAGACUGCAGCAGUUCUAAAGCCAAAGGACAGGAAAGCAGGGAUGUCAAACUGCUGGCUGGUUUCAUCAUACUGAAGCCCACCCCAUUGUUG